UUAUAAAUAUUGAAUUUAUGCAGAGCAUAGAAAAUUUUCCGGCUUACUUGAAACAAUUACUUAUUGAAUACGUCCCGGAUAAUCGCGUCGAAGCUAUCUUAUCUCGCUUUGUCAAUAUUCAAAAGCCUUCAUGUCCCCUGCAUAUCAAAAGCGCAUUGUAGAUACAUAAAUCAUUUUAUGGAUAUAUUAAUAUGAAAAUAUAAAAUUAAAAAUGUGAUUAGCUUUGGUUCGUAGCCAAAGAUAUUUAUGUAUAGUAGUUAAAGGGUUAAGAGCGGAACGAGUUUGUUAGUCGUUACCCGACCUAAUACUUGCGGUGAAGCGUUGCACGCGUACCGCGUAUUUUCUUGUUUUGCUCCGGUUUUCGCGUGCGCGCGUUUCGCAGCACACUUCGAAAGCCGCAGCUUUCUGAGCACGGGGAGAUAUCGAAUGUACAACUACGCACGAGUCGAAGAUUGCGGCUCCGUUCGGUAAACCUACUCGCGUGCUAACCAUGCUAAAAAAUCGGUAACGGUAUCGUUAUUGUGGUCGGUUUGAAUUCGUCGAAUGUCGCUCGAUAUUCUCGAUACAACGCCGCGCCGGAAACAGUUUCGACCGGUCGAGCCGUUCGCCUUUACCCUUAUUAGCCAAGCCAGGCGACACAGACGAGUGAAUCUGUGAGACGACUGUUCGUCUGUGACGCGAAUUAUCUUCGCUCGAGGUCGAAGUUUGCGGCGUUGAUGCUGUCUCGAUUAGAAAGUGGUUGUUCUGGGGUAAAAAGUUUUAUGGGUGGUUUUUGAGACUUCGCGCAACACUGAUAUUUUCACUUUUAUUCAUUCGUCUUUUUGUAGAACUAGAGAGAAUUAUAAUUUGAUUUUUGUAACUGUUUGCGAUCUUUUCUUACUGAUAUCUUUUAAUGACUCGAAUCUGGCUUCCAGUUUCAGUAACAAUUCACAUUGUUUCAUAUCAAUUGGUUUCUCCAAUUCAUAAAGGAACCAUUAUUCUACUUAUACUUGGAUACAUUCCCAAUUUCGUCGAAAUUACUGCGCAGAGUUCCGCGAGUUGGAUCGACCCUAUUCGGGACUUAAUUCAUUCUUAGUUCCAGUUCUGCUUUCAUAGGUCUUAUUAACAUAAUGUCACCAAACUGCAGGGACCAAUCUGAUCGUUAUAACGGUGGUAUACUUACAUUCCUAUUAAACAUGAAUUGUUCGAAUAAAUGCGAAGUACAUAGCAUUACCUUAAAUUCUGUUCCCUUUCUAGCGCCUUACGUCUAUUAAACGCAUUUAAGUUUCACGAGCUUCAAGAUGCAUAGUCAUAGAGCGUAGAAAGUUCGAGAGUUUAACUCAUUUGCUUGCAUAAUCAUUCAUUUCUAAUACUUUUUUUCUUGAUAAUAACUUCCUUGAGUAAAAACGGAUUCGUUAAUGUAAAUCUUGUUGACACAAACAUUAAUAAGCCAUUGCUUUUUUUCCCUUAGUACUUCAGUAUUAUACUGAGCAUGAUUUUAUUUUUCCCAAGAUCGAACUAAUUUUUCAUCUUUAUUACUUUGUUCUGUCGAUUUAUCAGGGAGUGGAUAGACGAGCUUGUUACUGCUCGUUAUUAAUGAAACGAAAACAAAUGCAAUGGAUAGGAAGUCCCUAUUCUCGAGGCGAAAAUGAUUUGUCGGGACGAUUUAUCGAAGGAAAAGUUGCAUCCAUUUUGACACCGUUACAUCGUAGCGAGAAGUCGAACCAAUCGGUUUUCAUAUGCUCUACCGUUUCUCGUUCAGUUCCGUGAUUUACAAUCUCACCAAUCGAAUCAGCCGCGCAGUAGUGCAACAAAAAUUGCAAAACUGUAAUUAACGUGCUUCCGACAGCAAUAAGGAAGGAGUCAUGGGGAGCGUCAGAAGCUCGAUACACGCUGUCUGAGAGCUAGUUAGCUGCAAAUCUGCAAUUACGCAGAAUAUUCUUUCCCAAGGAGCGAAAUUAGCAGCAUUUCGGAAAACGAUUAUUCGGACGUGCGUAAUCAGAGAAUUGGACAAGAUUCGGCAGAGCAGU